GUUUAGUACGGAACACGUCAUCAGCGGCAGAAAGUGAAGCUGAAACAAAAACAUGUGAUAAGAUCAUGUUACUGUUGAACACAGGAAGUCCAGGAGAAAGUCCUGCGAUAUUUUUUUGUCAAAAUUUCGCCACGAGAUGCUCUGGAUGCUAAGUCCAUCAUUCAAGAUGCAGGCAGGCUGUUUGAUGAAAUGGAUCAGCGACUUUUUCUGAUAUCUGAAAACCUCAGAGAAAAAGUGGAAAGUUGAAACUAAGGAAUCCAUCGUGAAGAGGUGAUUUCAAUACUGGAAAAUCUGAAAAACUAUUGCCUUUACAGACUCAAUCAAAGAAUUAAUGGACAAAAGGACUCAUUGACUCACCUGUACAUUGAACUCGACAAUAUGUCUUUUCCAAAGUGUUGCUCAUCGCAAGAAAAGCUUACAAAACAUAAGUUGAAUUUCCGGAUGCAGCAUAAGACCAAAAAUUUGGCCCCGGAAAAGAAAUUGUUCAGAGAGAUAAAUGUGAUCCAGGAAAGGAAUGAUGGUUCAACUUCAAUGGAAGGGCUUAAUGACAUUCUACGUUAUUGUUUUAUUAAGUUGUUAAUCAAUUGAGCUCUCAUUAUCUUGUUUCCAUAAAACAAUUGUAGUAAUGAUGGCAGAUACAGUGGAAGUAUCAGCAUUAUCAUCAUCACUACAAUCAAAAGAGUGAAAAAUUAGUUGAUGAGGAAAUCAAACAACUUGAAGAGACAAGGAAAAUCUCAAAAGGCUCAAGGGAAACAGUGAGAAACCAAGUCAAGGUCAUUUGUGAUGAGUUGGUGGAAAUGAGUGAGGAAAAGAGGGGACUUGAGGCCAAAAUCAAAGUGGCCGAGAAAGAAUUAGAGGCCAUAAAUGAAGAGAUAUAGUCAUACCAGAAGCACUUGAGAGUUAAGCACCACAGAAAGGAGGCUUCUCUUUUUUAUGUCAAGAACACAGAAAUCAGUAACUGUUGGGUCUUCAAAUUUUGCACCUUGGGAACGAUUCUAUUCACUUGAAUACAAUCUAUGUAGAAAAUUUAGAAAAGGCGAUAAGUACUUUUAGUGCUAGGUUUCCCGGUUGAAAUGUAAAUCACGAUAUUGCUAUAAAUGCAUGUAUAAUCUUUUAGAUAUUUUUGUAUGCAUCCCCAACCAAAUUAUACGAUACUUGUCAUAUUUUAUUAAA